AUGUUUUNNNNNNNNNNACGUCAGAUGGCUGUCCUCUCCGAACGUCAGAUGGCCGUCCCCGCAGAACGUCAGAUGGCCGUCCUCUCCGAACGUCAGAUGGCCGUCCCCGCAGAACGUCAGACGGCCGUCCUCUCCGAACGUCAGAUGGCUGUCCUCUCCGAACGUCAGAUGGCCGUCCCCGCAGAACGUCAGAUGGCCGUCCCCGCAGAACGUCAGGUGGCCGUUCCCGCAGAACGUCAGAUGGCCGUCCCCGCAGAACGUCAGACGGCCGUCCUCUCCGAACGUCAGACGGCCGUCCUCUCCGAACGUCAGAUGGCCGUCCCCGCAGAACGUCAGAUGGCCGUCCUCUCCGAACGUCAGAUGGCCGUCCCCGCAGAACGUCAGACGGCCGUCCUCUCCGAACGUCAGAUGGCUGUCCUCUCCGAACGUCAGAUGGCCGUCCCCGCAGAACGUCAGGUGGCCGUCCUCUCCGAACGUCAGAUGGCCGUCCCCGCAGAACGUCAGAUGGCUGUCCUCUCCAAACAUGAAGACUUUAAUAGAUGUGACACUGGGAUGGUUUCACACCAUAGUCAGGAAACAGGAAACAGAGGACGACGAAGCAAAACAACUAAUACAGAACCAGGGUACAAAGUGGAUGAGAGGGCUAUGGUGAAAACACACACACUCUCAAGAAACCCCCCCCCCCCACACCACAAAAACAUUACAAAUCUAAAAAAAAUCCUGUGACUAAGAUAUGAAGUAACCUUGGUAGUACCAAGUUGGUCCCCUUCCGGGGCUUGGGGCCUGUGUGGGCGGUCUGUCCGCUCUGAGGACUGUAGGCAUGGCAGGGAGAGGUGAGCUGUCACCCACCAUUAGCAUCACCGCAGCCGCUCCGAGAGAGAGGGAGGGAGGGAUGAAAAGCUGGAUCCUCGCUAACCGCCAUCCAGAGCCCAUCCCCAGGCCUCAGAACCCUCACGCCUCCAGGGACUGGCUCGCACGCUAACACACAAACACUCCCUCCUCAGCAAUUGUUAAUAGUAUCAAAGGGUUGUGUGUGAGGGAAGUGAGAGGGUUGGUGUGGAGGAGUGUAUGUGUGUAUGUGUGUGUGUGUGUGUGUAAGUGUGUGGCAGGGCUGAGAAGCAGAAUGUGGAAGAUGUAGAAAUGAACAGGAGGAGGGGAGGAUAGUUUAGGAGAGGUGUUGCCAACAGUAGGCGAGAGCCACACAGAGUGCUGUGAUGAUUAAAGUUGAAUGUGGGGAGGGUUAGAGGAGGCUUAGAUAAUGCAUAACUGUUGUAUUGGAGGUCUAACAUAACCUACACUGACACACCUACUUAUUCAACUCAGUGGUACACUAUCACACAUGCACACAGAGUACUAAAGACCCAGAUUCAGUUCAACCCUCCUACACAGGCUGUAACAGGAUUCGUCCUCCUCUGACGAGGAGUAUGAGAGAUCGGACCAAUGUGCAGCGUGGUACGUGUUCGUCAUGUUUAAUGAACAAAAUCACUGAACACGAAAAUACAAAAUAACAAAUAGAAAGACAGAAAGGAAAACCGAAACAGUUCCGUGUGAAACACACAGACACAGAUCACCCACGAAACACUGGUGGGGAAAGGCUACCUAAGUAUAAUUCUCAAUCAGAGACACCUGCCUCUGAUUGAGAACCAUACCAGGCCAAACACAAAAUUACAGCAUAGAAAAACAAACAGACUGCCCACCCCAACUCACACCCUGACCAUACUAAAACAAAGACAAAACAAAGGAACUAAGGUCAAAACGUGACAGUACCCCUCCCAAAGGUGCGGACUCCGGCCGCGGGACGUGGACCGCACUUCACCAUAUUUUUUCUCCGCCUUUUUAUUCGCCUCCGUGGCCUCUCGCCGCCGACCUCGGACUGGGGACACAAGCCCAGGGUCCCGAUUCCGGAAGCACCGGACGGACGGGAGACUCCGGCAGCACCGGACGGACGGGAGACUCCGGCAGCACCGGACGGACGGGA
rnacentral:lncRNA from 13 species